GAUACCAUACCAGGGCUGUCUCCACAGCUGCGUGCUUUUCAGUUCCCCUCUCCCCAGAACUCUUAACCUUAUUCUCACACUCUGUGAGGUUUCCAUGUUGGCAAGAAAGCUGAAAAAAUGUCAAGCAUACCCAGAUGAGGAGACUUAGAAGAGAUGCUUGUGGCUUUAGCUCAGCUGCCUGGACUACAGCCUUUCUAAGAAGCAGGUGGCAGAAAGAAGCAGAUGAAGUUAAGAUGCUAAAAGGAUUAAGAAUUCUCCAAGGAAAUAAACUGUAAGUCUGAUAAUCUUUCAAAUAAACUAUUCAAGACAUUUUAUAUCUUACCAAGGACUUUUCUGUUUUGAAAGUUAGUAUAAUAAUAGCUAUUUACAUAGAGUUUACUCUGUGCCAGACACUGAUCUAAGUGCUUUUUAAAAAACAUGUAUUAAGUCCUCCAGUUUUCAUAAUAGCUCUAUAAAGUGGGUACUAUUUUUC
rnacentral:lncRNA from 1 species